UUCCUGAAGCUGACCUAGGUCUGACCUUUCUUGUCCUAGGCCUUGAGAUUAUGUGACUUCCUGCAACCUGGGCCUAAAGCUCAACCUUCUGGCCCCGCAGGCUUCUGGGAACAGGGGUCAUGUGACUUAGGCCUAAGGUCUGACCUACUUUAUCUCAUAGUCUUUUUGAGAAAACUUCACAGGUUUGGGCAGCAGGAAGAACUGGGCAAGGCUGCGAAUGCCAGGAUGCGCAAUGUGGGGCGUUAUUCAUCAAAGAGGAUCUGAAAUGAAUGACAAAUGCAUGGAUUACAGGCAGAGCGCUGCAGAUGGGGAAACAGAAGACUAGGGAACCCAACUUUCUGAUUUGCCAGGGUUAUACAGGAAUCACUUUACUACCUUCACCACCAGACCUAACUGGAGACAGCCCAGCUCUCCAAGGCUAAGGGACCUGCUAACAACUGCAUCCCUGCAUCCCCACAGACCAUAUGGCCAGUAUCCAGUCAUCACUGAGGGCAUCAUGAGGAGAAGCAAGGCUCUGGAAGCAAUGCAGACUCUGACCCCUCAGCCAUCAGAGCUAUUGAAAAUGUGGGGGACUCUGAACAUCAAACUCCCUGGGCCUGUCAAAUGGUGGAUUAUCUGAAAUAGAUGUUAAUUUUGUCAGCAAAAGUAACUGUAUAGAAGAGGCUUUGCUAUGUUAUCCUAAGAACCGUGGGGCUCUUUUAUUUGAGUUGCAAAUGAAACCUCUUAUUUCAGUUGUCUCCUCCUAUUUAAUAGCUCCUAAUCUAUCUGUCUCCUGUAUCUUUUGGGAAGUCUAGAGAUGCCUAUGGACCUCUUCUUAGAAGAACGUUUCUAAAUGCAGAAAUCAAAUAUAAAUCAAACAUAGGAUAAUAAAGGA